rnacentral:rRNA from 1 species
GCCUACGGGGGGCAGCAGUAGGGAAUCUUCCACAAUGGACGAAAGUCUGAUGCAGCGACGCCGCGUGAAGGAAGAAGUAUUUCGGUAUGUAAACUUCUAUCAGCAGGGAAGAAAAUGACGGUACCUGACUAAGAAGCCCCGGCUAACUACGUGCCAGCAGCCGCGGUAAUACGUAGGGGGCAAGCGUUAUCCGGAUUUACUGGGUGUAAAGGGAGCGUAGGCGGUGCAGCAAGUCAGAAGUGAAAGCCCGGGGCUCAACUCCGGGACUGCUUUUGAAACUGUUGAACUAGAUUGCAGGAGAGGUA